rnacentral:rRNA from 1 species
UCUUCUCUGGUUGACCUCGGAUCAGGUAGGGAUACCCGCUGAACUUAAGC